rnacentral:rRNA from 1 species
GACAGAGGCCUCGAGCGUUAGGCGGAAUCACUGGGCUUAAAGCGUGUGUAGGCGGAAGAGUAAGUACCUUGUGAAAUCCCACGGCUCACCCGUGGAACCGCUGGGUAUACUGCUCUUCUUGGGCCACUCAGGGGCGACUGGAACAAGCGGUGGAGCGGUGAAAUGCGUAGAUAUCGCUUGGAACGCCGAAGGUGAAAACAGGUCGCUGGGAGUGCGCCGACGCUGAGACACGAAAGCCAGGGGAGCAAACGGGG